UACGUAGGGGGCAAGCGUUGUCCGGAAUUAUUGGGCGUAAAGAGCGCGUAGGCGGUCCGAUAAGUCGGCUGUGAAAGUCAGGGGCUCAACCCUUGAAAGCCGGCCGAUACUGUCGGACUAGAGUCCGGAAGAGGCAAGUGGAAUUCCCGGUGUAGCGGUGAAAUGCGCAGAUAUUGGGUGGAACACCGGUGGCGAAAGCGGCUCUCUGGUCCGGACCUGACGCUGAGGCGCGAAAGCGUGGGGAGCAAACAGG
rnacentral:rRNA from 1 species